UCCCACAGUUCCCUCUGCCUGGCCCCGAGGGAGGAGGCUGGAUGAUCUUUCUGGAUGGCUGUAAAGCUCUCCUGUAUAUUACUGCAGCACCCACAGUGCUUGGAUGGGGUUCUGCAGAGUCACCAUCAGUUCCUGUGCAUCACUUGCAGCAAUGUGGUCCAUCAAGGCUCUCUGCUGCAGUUUCUCUGAAACAGCAUGCAAAUUUGGUACUACUUCUGUGUGAUUCAAACCUUGUAACCCACGCGUUCCAGGAGCUUUAAAGACACUGGGAUCAUAGAAGUCUCCUCUGCAGCGGAGCUGCAUGCCAGGCAGAUAACCAGGGAGCUGGGCUCUGUGGGACCUGGUGAGGCUGUGAGGAUGGCCUGGGCUUCAUAUUCUGCUGCUGUUUCCUUGGGCACGCAGCCCCCCUCUGUGUGAGCUGGUUACUCUGCCUCAAAUGCAUAAGGUGCAUUCUGCAUAUACACUAUUCUAUGCCACCAAUAACAAAGCUUGAAUGUGUCUUGAGGAGUUUUAUGUGAGUAAAUGGAAUAUGGGGAUGAUUGCAUUUGAUGCUUUCAGAGACUGGCUGCUGCUUUUGCAAGUUACAACCCCAAUCGUAUUUGAAGCUUUUUUUUUUUCCUUCAGAAUAGUAAAAAUACAACUUAAGCAAACUUUUUUUUUAAUGGAAUGAUGAAACUACUGAACUGCAGUCAAACAGCAAUAAAAAUGGCAAAUGCUGUCAGAUGAUACGGAGCCGGUGCAAACGAAAGCCAGAGAGAGGCAGAAUCCUCAAACUAAUUCCAGGAAAGAGCAAGCUAUUGGCUUUCAGAAUACAGAAAGCCAGCUAUCACGAAACGUACUGGGACAAUGCAGUCGUUUUACCCACUUUGACGUUUACCCAAAACGUAAGUGUGUGUCUUGACUUCGCAGUGAAGAUAGGAAUAAAGCUGAAGUCGAGCGGCGUGGAACCAGCUCUGCAGAGGGGACUGUAGGUGGAGCUCGGCUCUGCGAUUCCUCGCUGCCGCUCCACAAUGAAGCGAUUGUUUCCCGUCUCCGCUCAUCAAUUCCUCCUUCCCUCUCUGUGCUUUCUGGUCGCGUGUUCUAUUUAUUUUAAUGUAUACCUUUGUGAAAAGCCUGUCUCUGAGUGGUUAGAUACCCCGUUGAUAUGUGGCCUUCCAGGGGGGGAGCCGGGGGAAGGAGUGCAGCUUAUUCCCAUGACAUCCGUGGGCUUUGUAGAGCCAAAAAAACCUUCUCGGGAACACCUAAUCCUUGGGCUCGCUCCAAGGACCACAAUCUCUCUGCACAACUGACAUGGGCCGCUUGGGACACUUGAGGGCUUUAGGUGUGUCUCUCUGAAGUCAGCCACAGCCAAGCAUGAGGCAAAUGUGCCCAGACCAAAGAAAAUAAAUUAUGUGGGCUCCAAUUUUCAGCAGUUAUGAAGUAUUAAAUUACGCAUUUGAAGAAUUCACUCGGGGAUUAACCCUUUGGAGCCCGCACUGUGCUGAGGUGGCUCCUCCCGGUGCACAUCUUGCCAGCGUUUUGAAGGUGGAUGGGUCAUCAAUCACGGGGCUGGAGUGCUAAUUGAAAUAUGUGUUGUAAUUAACUGUUAGAGCUGAAGAAGGAGAGAGGGAGCAAGGGAAAGAGACCUGGUACCUGUGUGAAAGGAGGUGUGAGGAGCAGCUCUGGCUUUGGUGCUUUGCGGGGUGUGUUCCGGGAGGGCUCUGUGUGCCACUGCAGUUUUAGGGGAAAACAAACAAUUUUU